CCUCAAAACACACCCAUUCUCUCUCUCUCUCCACUGCCCAUCCACGGCCAAACGCCCCUGCCGCUCGCCACCGUCCAAUCCGCUCGUCGUUUCUGCGAGGCCCAGUGUUUCGAUUUCCAAACGGGAUCAAAGGACCGGCUUCUGGAACCAUUCCUAGGUCUAGCCGAUUCGACAUCGACAUCGACAUCGACGCUCUAUCUAGACCUCUCCUUCAACCGCCUACUCGAGUCCAGGCCUUGUGAUUCGGACCAGAACGAUAUGAUCGAACGAGCGAUGAAGAUGGGAUCUGUGCUCCUCGAAGCCCAUAAGAGAUCUGCCAGAAAGCGUGCCACAAUGCACAACGCCGUCGUUUGGGCCCUGCCUCCUGAUCUCACUACCAAAUUUCGUGUGGAUUGAUUUUUUUUUUUGGGGGUUUGGGUUUCGGUUAUUUGUUCGGUUGGAGUGCACAAAACUCUUUAACGGUUUACCUGGAACACUGGAUAUGGAGUCUACUAUUGUGAUCAAGAGUUCUUUGCAGAGGGUGCAAUCUAAAUGUUACUUGCUAGAAUGCAUAAAUUCUCAGCUGGCUCAAUGAUAGAGUUUACAUGGGCUAUCCUCAAUUUCCCAAAAUCCCAUUGAUUUGUAUUUUGUGCCUUACUGAUUGUUGACUACACACCUCUAUUUUGAUUAAGGUAGGAGGAACUACAAACAAUCUUGAAUAAAGUUGUGCAAAGUUUGCUACUUGAGCCUUACCCGUCAGAUUGAUAGUUGCUUAGAAGGCUGCCUUGUGUUAGCUAGAAUGAAGGAGUAUCGUUCAAUGUUCAGUGUUCCAUGGAAAGAUUAGAGACAAAAAAGUGAAGAAGUUGUAUCUUCCUCUUGCUACUGCUGCUCCUCUUCCUGUUGGAGUAAUUACCCAAGCUAUGUGACGUGUCAAUAUGGCUCCAAGGAUUCUUUCGGAAGGGCUAUUUAAGGAAAGGAUGUGUAUUAGAGGUGAUGGAAAGAUAUGACGAUGUAAGCAUAUCGUUUAAUUAGUUCAUUGGAAUGCUUGAGAAAAUUUAUUCUAUUUUCUGAUGUCUUAACUGCCUACCUCAUGUAGGCCUUGACUGCCUUUCAAAUAGCGCUGUAACAAAAUCCACAAAGCUCAGAGGUGUCAAAAAGAUCAAGAGGCUUGCAUAGCUGGCAAAAGAUAAAAAAUGAGUUCAAAAAAUGGAAAACAUGAGAUUAAGAUAUCAAUCAACAAAAAAUGGAAAACAUGAGAUCCAAUAUUGAUAUCGCAAAGUACAUAGAUCAAUUAAAAUCUGAACUGGUAUCACUGACUGGUUUGAUGAGGGCAUUGUUGAGGAGUAAUGAGCUAGAGGAAAAAUGUAUUUUGUUUGGAUAUACGGGCUGAACCAGCAUCAGUACGACUUGUUCUUUUUCUUCUCUUUCAGGGAAUAAAAAUAUAUAUGUUGAUCUGAAGUGAUAUCGCUGACUGGUUUGAUGAGGGCAUUGGGGAGUAAUGAGCGAGAGAAAAAAAUGAAUUUUGUUUUGAUAUGCAGGCUCAACCAGCAUCAGUACGACUUGUUCUUUUUCUUUUCUUUUUCAGUGAAUAUAAAUAUGUAUGUUGAUUUGUCUUUAAUUACUUUAUCCAUUGAAAUGAGUCAAUUUGUUGUAGUUUGAUGACAUUCUCAGUAAUACUUUCGUGGCUGGCCUUCGAUUAGGUUGAUGAGUGAUUAGUUUAAUUCAAAAUUUAUGGUUUUGGUCACUCAAUUGUCAUUGCUUUGGAAAUAUAGCUACAAAUUUGGAAUCCUUGAUAUCAUACUCUCUUCGAUAUAUAUGUUUCCUUCUGUCUUCUGUUUCCUUGAUAUCGUACUCGAUAUGUUCUCGCAUUUUCCUCUUCAGUUAACAUGCAUAUGGAGUUUCCCAGUUGGACUAAAGUGAAGAACAUGUUCAUCGUGCUUCAAUAUUCUUUGUAGAACAAGUGGGGUUUUGGCUCCUUCAAUUAGGAUCAUCAUUCUUUCAAGUAUAUCUAACUCAAGGAUUGAUAUUCAGGAUACCAUUGUGAUGACAAACUUCAUCAUAUGAUGUUUUCAAGUUCUACCAUAGCUAUGGGAUACAGAAACCAUACAAACAUCAAGUUCUGAGUGUAAAAUAUUUACUGUAGUUUGUUCAGAUUUUGUUAGUGUUGAAGUGUUUGUGCUUCAUUUUCUUAUUUCUGUUGAUUUACAACUUUUUCUACGCCCAUUCACAUUUAUAUCUUACUGUGGAUAGGCCUUUUGCAAGCAUAAAUAUAACCUACUUAUAUACAGAAAACUAUACAUCAAACUAAAAUAUCCUAUAUCCCAACGAAAUUAAAAAUCGAUCAAUUCAACGGGCAUGGCACACGUACCUUGCAUGUGGCAAAGUACCUAGUCCUAG